UGCUCCGAUGGCUUAGUGGUUAGAGCGUCCGCCUCGGAUGCAGGAGGUCGUGGGUUCGAUCCCCAGUCGAGUAA